GCAGGCCCAGUGCAAAAAAUUCAAUGUAUCAUCCUCAGGGGAAAAGACUCCAUGUCCCAAUGUUAAAAAACCGGUAUGUGGCACAGAUGGCCAGACAUACAAGAACCUUUGUGAAUUCUGCAAGAUAGCUGUGGAAAAGAAUGGACAGCUUGGCUACAAACAUGAAGGAAAAUGCUAGACCUUCGAAUGAUUCAGUGACUACAAUUUUCCCUCACUAACACCUUCAAUAAAAAUAACUUGGCAAAUAU